ACAAAGAAAUAAACCUCUCAACGGUAAAACCCUAUCUCUCUUCCCCGCCCGCCUCUCCACACUCUCAUCGGAUUGAAAGGGCUUCCACUCGAUUUCCUACCCCCCACCGGUCCGAUUCCACAAAAUUACCGAGAUGGCCAAUGUCACUUCGAGGGACCUUCAAGAGAUCGUCUCGAAGCUAUCCUCCGAUAAAGCUAAAACUCGCGAAGAAGGAUUUAAGUUGUUGAACACCUGGUUAGAAGGCAAAAGAUCCACUGGCUUUGUUAGAUACAUUGGACAGAAAACUGCAAUGCUUAAACCGAGUGAGAUACGUCAUUGUAAGAUCUGAUGCAGAUACUUUUGAAAUAUGUUCGUUUGGUGAGCCAAAUCAUGGCCUUUUCUCAUUACACUGCUCACUAAGUGUGUUACACUGGAGAUAUCCUCGAGCAAGCGGCGAUUGACAAAGUUAAUUUUUGCUAAAACUUUGUGCAUUGUUGUACAACUAGUGGAGCAUUCCAGCCUUUCAGGUUGUUAAACGAAGGCUACGCUUCUUAGUUAAUUUGAUCAUUUAAUUCUUUUGGGUUAAAUAAUUUGCUCAUUUGUUUGAAUCAUUGACCUCUAAAGAUGACUGUAAGGAUCCCUUUUCAAAAUUCAACUCGGUACAUUACAUCCUACAUCUUCCUCUAAAUCAUGAGCUGUCAUGAAUUUACUUAUUACCUUGGGCACAUUUGUCUUAUUGUCCUUAGAAAUGUUUUUUACUUCAACCAUAUAUCUCCUCAUUGAUUAAUUCAAUGGUACUACACGAAUAAAUGGACCACCUCAGACGGCAUUACCUCUGCUUUGAGUUGUUGCCAAGUCUGGUUUAUUCAUACUCCCUUUGUCCCAUUUUGUUUGCUCUCUCAGAAAGACUGCCAUUUUGACCUUAAAAAAAUUCAGUUCUUUCGGUAAUAGUAGUUUUUUGGAAUGUUUUUACACCUUUUGAAAGAUUUCAGUUCAUGCUUUUGAAUGCCAAAAUAAAAAAUAAAUUCUCCAAACUACUCUUGUUAAUUUUUUUUUUUUGAGGUCAAAAUGGCAUGAUUUUUUGGUAGGAAGAAAACAAAAUGGGACGGAGGGAGUACUUGGCAGCUGACAAGAUGAUUUAUAUUCUUGUGCCCAUUAUAUGAUCCUCAAUGGAAUAGAUUGGUCAAUGAUGAAAUAGCAGAUUCGAAAGCUUGAUCAUAGGAUGAAGUUUGUAUUGAGUUUCGAUUCGAAUUGUGAUAUAUGUAAAUUUUAGUCUGCCUCCACUGAGGAAUAAACUUAGAAGUUUGGACUUUGGACUUUGGACUUUGGAUUGUAUGUUUGUCCUUGGUUGGACCCUAGAAAUGGAAAAACACCACCCCAUUCAGUUGAAGGAUAAGUUGGCUUUGUUGCUUCUAUGUAAUUUUUACCAGAAACCAAAACAGAAGAAAUAUAUGAUUUCUUCACUGUAUUUUCUACGAAACAGAGUUGGGUUGCAACGGACAUGUUCCUCGGUGAAGUUAUUUGAUGCCAGUCAUUUAUGCCCUCAUUAUCCUCUCACCGGCAGGAAUUUGCAUCUGGUCUCUGUGGCGAAAUUGCUUUUCAACCAUAUCUGGGAUGUCUUAAAGGAUGUCCCCAGCUUUCAGCAUGAGUAUGGGAUUAUCCUCCGCCAUCUUUUGGUAGUUAGAGAUUAUUGAGUUCACAUGAGGGUGCGCGUUUAUUGCAGUUUGGUGAUUUUUCACAUAGAGAAGGUGCAGACAAACUUGACUGUGAAGAAUAGUACUCAAUCUAAUCCAAAGGAGGAUGUGUUUCGUUGCAUCCUGACUCUCCAUUCACUUCUUGAAAAUCCUCCUGGAGAUUUUCCAAGUAAUCUCUGAGAAGACAUUGUCAAGGGGAUUGUCACAAUUUUCUCUUUUGUGAGGAUGCACUUAUUCUAUAUGCUAGGUUACAAUUAAAUUUGACUAGGGGUGCUGCUGACGGCAGUGAAUUGGUGGAACAUCUUUUGGAUGUAGUUGGGAAGGAGCUCGAUCAAAAUAGUAUCUGCAGUACCAAUCUUGCCUGGAGUGACACAACCAAGGAUGAUAAGUGUGGAAAUUUAACAAGCUCACAAUGUGGCGUGGUGGAGCUUGAGGCCCUUGUCUUUUAUCUGGCAUGCCUCCAUACAACCAAAGCACCAUUAGCUGAAAAAUGAGCCAGGAAGGAGCAUGCUGCUGCCUACAUAAGAGAGGGGCUCAUGAAUGGAUGAUGGCUGUGGUAAGUUUGGAGCCAAAGGAUUCCAUCUUUUAUUCGCAUGUAUUUCAUGGUACGCGUACAUAUUCUCACUGACUUAGAAGGGACAUUUAUAGUUGGUCUGAAACUGAAUCUAUCACUGUGUUUGGUUUACAUAAAACUAAAUAUAACCUACAGUGGUAAGUUUCCAUCUUGAAAUCCUUGAACCAUUAAGUGUUCUAUUUAGUUUGUUGAACCGGUGCCUGAUUGAGUUGAGCUUACCUGAGCUUGAGUUCGGCUAGUGUUGUAAUCCAGAUCUUUCUUCGUCUCUUGCCCGUCUUUGCUCCUGGCCAACCAUGGUGAAGCUUCAUCACCUUGCAGGAAAAAAAUCCCAAGCCACAGAACAAUGCAUGAGAAUUACAACAUAUACACCCAUACUCUUGUGCAUGAAACACCAAGUGACCAUACUUACCUCAUCUGAAUCCUAUUAUCUACAUGGAUCUUGCCUUUGGCUGUGAGCCGGAAAAGAAUUGAAGAAUAAAGAAACCUUUUCAGGGGUAGAACUGUAGAAGCCCCCCAAAUGGGAGUGUUGAUCUUUAGCACUUCCACUCUGAUCUCGAAGUCAAAAACGUGUUACACCUCCACUUGUUGCCUUAUAAAAAAGACUUAACUUGCAAAGACACUGAAACCAUGUAGACUCCAUCUCAGUUCCCAGGUUCUCAACCUCUUCGAAAGAGUUAUGAACUCAUCCAUCUCUGAAUCCUAUAUGAACAUCUAUUUGGAGUAUGAUGUCCCCCCAUAUUGAUGCCUCUCUAAAUACACACCCCAUUGGACAUAAUAAUCUCUUGCAAGCUCCAGUCUGGCCGACCACUUCCGUUCUUGUCCUGUUUACCACUCCUAUUCUUUAUCACCACCAUGUUCCUCCACCAUAUCACCCUCUGACAAGAA